UGCUCCUGUUGCUUUGCAUACACAAAGUGUGUGGUGAGUUCCCUGUAGAUAUAAGAUGCUAUAAAUGUUCUAUUUCCUAUGUGACGUCUCAGUGAUCUGCACCUGACACUGCUCCUACUGUCAGUAUGGGGAGAUACUUACUGCUUGUCCUCUCCGCUCUCUUCUCUCUCUCUGUUCCAGGCACCUAUGGGCAGAUUGUACUGACUCAGUCUCCAGAUUAUGUCUCUGUGUCACCAGGAGAAACUGUCACCCUCACAUGUAAAGCCAGUAGCAGUGUUGGCACCAGCUACUUGCACUGGUACCAACAGAAAUCAGGGCAGGCACCAAAGCUGCUGAUCUAUCACGCAAGCACCCGACACACAGGGACCCCAGAGCGGAUCAGCGGCAGUGGGUCUGGAACUGAUUUCACUCUUACAAUCAGCAGAAUGGAAGCAGAAGAUGCAGCAGAUUAUUACUGUCAGCAGAGUGACAGUGGGUCACACAGUGAUACAGAGCUGAACAAAAACCUCCCUGUUACUGUGCCAGUGAGUUAUUUACAUGAUACUCUAUAAAGCUACAGAGCAUGACAUGAUAUUCUCAGUAGGCUUGUUAUA